rnacentral:rRNA from 1 species
AUUGAACGCUGGCGGCAUGCUUUACACAUGCAAGUCGAACGGCAGCGCGGGCUUCGGCCUGGCGGCGAGUGGCGAACGGGUGAGUAAUGCAUCGGAACGUGCCCAGUAGUGGGGGAUAGCCCGGCGAAAGCCGGAUUAAUACCGCAUAAGACCUUAGGGUGAAAGCGGGGGACCGAAAGGCCUCGCGCCAUUGGAGCGGCCGAUGUCGGAUUAGCUAGUUGGUGGGGUAAAGGCUUACCAAGGCGACGAUCCGUAGCUGGUCUGAGAGGACGACCAGCCACACUGGAACUGAGACACGGCCCAGACUCCUACGGGAGGCAGCAGUGGGGAAUUUUGGACAAUGGGGGCAACCCUGAUCCAGCCAUGCCGCGUGCGGGAAGAAGGCCUUCGGGUUGUAAACCGCUUUUGUUCGGGAAGAAAUCCUGUGGGCUAAUACCCCGGGGGGAUGACGGUACCGGAAGAAUAAGCACCGGCUAACUACGUG